rnacentral:lncRNA from 1 species
CUCCCUUUGGCCACUAUUUUCAACAAAACAUAAAGUAUCCUCUUCAUUCUCACUGUUUUCAGACUGUUGGCUUUCAUCACUGCUGAGAACUAGUAAGACAGAAUUAUCUUUACCCUGAGAUGUGUUGGGCGCAGACGUGUAUAGUUUGGUAUCACAUUCAAAAUCUACAUUCCCUUCACUGUUCAUGUCUUCACUGACACUUAUAACUGUGGACUCUUCUUCAUCAUCAC